rnacentral:tRNA from 1 species
GCUGCUGUAGCUCAGUGGUAGAGCACUCCCUUGGUAAGGGAGAGGCCGGGAGUUCAAUCCUCCCCAGCAGCACCA